CAGCAGCCGCGGUAAUACAGAGGGUGCGAGCGUUAAUCGGAUUUACUGGGCGUAAAGCGUGCGUAGGCGGACAUUUAAGUCAGGGGUGAAAUCCCGGGGCUCAACCCCGGAACGGCCUUUGAUACUGGGUGUCUUGAGUUCGGAAGAGGUGAGUGGAAUUGCGAGUGUAGAGGUGAAAUUCGUAGAUAUUCGCAGGAACACCAGUGGCGAAGGCGGCUCACUGGUCCGAUACUGACGCUGAGGUGCGAAAGCGUGGGGAGCAAACAGGAUUAGAUACCCGUGUAGUCCCUGUCUCUUAUAA
rnacentral:rRNA from 1 species